rnacentral:misc_RNA from 1 species
AAGUCGUAACAAGGUUUCCGUAGGUGAACCUGCGGAAGGAUCAUUAACACGUAUCCACGUCACCUGUUGACAUACACCAAACCUAUUGUUUAUAUAGUAUUUGGAACUGGUCGCUAUGCACUCGUUUGCAUAGAUGUACUGGAACCGGUACUCGUGCACUAUAUUUUUUUUUCCCAUUCCCUUAUAUAACUACGCCUUGACUCAAUUGUAGUAGGUCUGGUCUUCGUGACUGGUCUAGUACACGUUUGCUUCUGUUUUUUCGAAAACGGAUUCAAAUGCCUAAUCAAAUGGACUGAUGCAAAGCAUCUGAUAUAUGAACUUGUUUCAUGUAUUAGAAUGUGAUGACAUUUGUAUAUAUUCAAUAUAUAUGAUCUAAUCACAACUCUUAGCAAUGGAUACCUAGGUUCUC